CCCUUAGAUGUUCUGGGCUGCACGCGCGCUACACUGAAGCUAUCAACACGUUUUCCCUCCCUGAGAAGGGCGGGUAACCUUUUGAAUCAGCUUCGUGGUAGGGAUCGGGGCUUGCAAUUUUUCCCCGUGAACCAGGAAUUCCUAGUAGACGCGAGUCAUAAGCUCGCAUCGAUUAAGUCCCUGCCCUUUGUACACACCGCCCGUCGCUACUACCGAUUGAACGUUUUAGUGAGGCAUUUGGACCGACGCAUCUCAGUUUAACCGCUGGUUUGUGUUGGAAAGACUUCCAAACUUGAGCGUUUAGAGGAAGUAAAAGUCGUAACA
rnacentral:rRNA from 1 species